UAGGGGGCAAGCGUUAUCCGGAUUUACUGGGUGUAAAGGGAGCGCAGACGGGAGAUCAAGUCAGCUGUGAAAGUUUGCGGCUCAACCGUAAAAUUGCAGUUGAUACUGGUUUCCUUGAGUGCGGUUGAGGUGUGCGGAAUUCGUGGUGUAGCGGUGAAAUGCUUAGAUAUCACGAAGAACCCCGAUUGCGAAGGCAGCACACUAAGCCGUAACUGACGUUCAUGCUCGAAAGUGUGGGGAGC
rnacentral:rRNA from 1 species